rnacentral:rRNA from 1 species
UGGGGAAUAUUGGACAAUGGGCGAAAGCCUGAUCCAGCAAUGCCGCGUGAGUGAUGAAGGCCUUAGGGUUGUAAAGCUCUUUUACCAGGGAUGAUAAUGACAGUACCUGGAGAAUAAGCUCCGGCUAACUCCGUGCCAGCAGCCGCGGUAAUACGGAGGGAGCUAGCGUUGUUCGGAAUUACUGGGCGUAAAGAGUACGUAGGCGGUUUGUCGCGUCUGCUGUGAAAAUCCGAGGGCCAACCCCGGCCC